UACGGAGGAGGCAAGCGUUAUCCGGAAUGAUUGGGCGUAAAGCGUCCGUAGGUGGUUUUUCCAGUCGGCUGUUAAAGAGCAAAGCUCAACUUUGUAAAGGCAGUGGAAACUGAAAGACUAGAGAGCCGUAGGGGUAGAGGGAAUUCCCGGUGUAGCGGUGAAAUGCGUAGAGAUCGGGAAGAACACCAGUGGCGAAGGCGCUCUACUGGGCCACAACUGACGCUGAGGGACGAAAGCUAGGGGAGCGAAAGGG
rnacentral:rRNA from 1 species